rnacentral:rRNA from 1 species
CCUACGGGAGGCAGCAGUGAGGAAUCUUGGUCAAUGGGCGGAAGCCUGAACCAGCCAAGUAGCGUGCAGGAUGACGGCCCUACGGGUUGUAAACUGCUUUUAUACGGGAAUAACGCGCCUUACGUGUAGGGCUUUGCAUGUACCGUAUGUAUAAGGACCGGCUAAUUCCGUGCCAGCAGCCGCGGUAAUACGGAAGGUACGGGCGUUAUCCGGAUUUAUUGGGUUUAAAGGGAGCGUAGGCCGCAUGUCAAGCGUGCUGUGAAAUGUCCGGGCUCAACCCGGGCCUUGCAGCGCGAACUGGCGAGCUUGAGUCCGCGGAAAGCAGGCGGAAUUCGACGUGUAGCGGUGAAAUGCUUAGAUAUGACGAAGAACCCCGAUUGCGAAGGCAGCUUGCUGCAGCGGAACUGACGCUGAUGCUCGAAAGCGCGGGUAUCGAACAGGAUUAGAUACCCUUGUAGUC